rnacentral:rRNA from 1 species
GACGAACGCUGGCGGCGUGCUUAACACAUGCAAGUCGAACGGAAAGGCCCUGCUUUUGUGGGGUGCUCGAGUGGCGAACGGGUGAGUAACACGUGAGUAACCUGCCCUUGACUUUGGGAUAACUUCAGGAAACUGGGGCUAAUACCGGAUAGGAGCUCCUGCUGCAUGGUGGGGGUUGGAAAGUUUCGGCGGUUGGGGAUGGACUCGCGGCUUAUCAGCUUGUUGGUGGGGUAGUGGCUUACCAAGGCUUUGACGGGUAGCCGGCCUGAGAGGGUGACCGGCCACAUUGGGACUGAGAUACGGCCCAGACUCCUACGGGAGGCAGCAGUGGGGAAUAUUGCACAAUGGGCGGAAGCCUGAUGCAGCAACGCCGCGUGCGGGAUGACGGCCUUCGGGUUGUAAACCGCUUUCGCCUGUGACGAAGCGUGAGUGACGGUAAUGGGUAAAGAAGCACCGGCUAACUACGUGCCAGCAGCCGCGGUGAUACGUAGGGUGCGAGCGUUGUCCGGAUUUAUUGGGCGUAAAGGGCUCGUAGGUGGUUGAUCGCGUCGGAAGUGUAAUCUUGGGGCUUAACCCUGAGCGUGCUUUCGAUACGGGUUGACUUGAGGAAGGUAGGGGAGAAUGGAAUCCCUGGUGGAGCGGUGGAAUGCGCAGAUAUCAGGAGGAACACCAGUGGCGAAGGCGGUUCUCUGGGCCUUUCCUGACGCUGAGGAGCGAAAGCGUGGGGAGCGAACAGGCUUAGAUACCCUGGUAGUCCACGCUGUAAACGGUGGGUACUAGGUGUGGGGUCCAUUCCACGGGUUCCGUGCCGUAGCUAACGCUUUAAGUACCCCGCCUGGGGAGUACGGCCGCAAGGCUAAAACUCAAAGGAAUUGACGGGGCCCCGCACAAGCGGCGGAGCAUGCGGAUUAAUUCGAUGCAACGCGUAGAACCUUACCUGGGUUUGACAUGGAUCGGGAGUGCUCAGAGAUGGGUGUGCCUCUUUUGGGGUCGGUUCACAGGUGGUGCAUGGCUGUCGUCAGCUCGUGUCGUGAGAUGUUGGGUUAAGUCCCGCAACGAGCGCAACCCUUGUUCACUGUUGCCAGCACGUUAUGGUGGGGACUCAGUGGAGACCGCCGGGGUCAACUCGGAGGAAGGUGGGGAUGACGUCAAGUCAUCAUGCCCCUUAUGUCCAGGGCUUCACGCAUGCUACAAUGGCUGGUACAGAGAGUGGCGAGCCUGUGAGGGUGAGCGAAUCUCGGAAAGCCGGUCUCAGUUCGGAUUGGGGUCUGCGACUCGACCUCAUGAAGUCGGAGUCGCUAGUAAUCGCAGAUCAGCAACGCUGCGGUGAAUACGUUCCCGGGGCU